CCUACGGGAGGCUGCAGUAGGGAAUCUUCCACAAUGGGCGAAAGCCUGAUGGAGCAACGCCGCGUGGGUGAAGAAGGUCUUCGGAUCGUAAAACCCUGUUGUUAGAGAAGAAAGUGCGUGAGAGUAACUGUUCACGUUUCGACGGUAUCUACCCAGAAAGCCACGGCUAACUCCGUGCCAGCAGCCGCGGUAAUACGUAGGGGGCAAGCGUUAUCCGGAUUUAUUGGGCGUAAAGGGAACGCAGGCGGUCUGUUAAGUCUGAUGUGAAAGCCUUCGGCUUAACCGGGGUAGUGCAUUGGAAACUGGGAGACUGGAGUGCAGAAGAGGAGAGUGGAACUCCAUGUGUAGCGGUGAAAUGCGUAGAUAUAUGGAAGAACACCAGUGGCGAAGGCGGCUCUCUGGUCGGUAACUGACGCUGAGGUUCGAAAGCGUGGGUAGCAAACAGGAUUAGAUACCCGGGUAGUC
rnacentral:rRNA from 1 species